rnacentral:rRNA from 1 species
AAAGGUACUCCGGGGAUAACAGGCUUAUCGCGCCCAAGCGCUCAUAGCGACGGCGCGGUUUGGCACCUCGAUGUCGGCUCAUCACAUCCUGGGGCUGUAGGCGGUCCCAAGGGUUGGGCUGUUCGCCCAUUAAAGUGGUACGUGAGCUGGGUUUAGAACGUCGUGAGACAGUUCGGUCCCUAUCUUCUAUGGGCGUAGGAAAUUUGAGGGGAUCUGUUGCUAGUAUGAGAAGACCGUGAUGGACAAACCUCUAGUGUACCAGUUGUCACGCCAGUGGCACGGCUGGGUAGCUAUGUUUGGAAGGGAUAAACGCUGAAAGCAUCUAAGCGUGAAGCCCACCCCGAGAUAAGAUUUCCCACAGAGUUAAUCUGAUAAGGAUCCUUCGAGAUAAGGAGGUUGAUAGGUCAGGUGUGUAAGUGUGGUGACACAUUCAGCAGACUGGCACUAAUAAUCCGAAGGCUUUGACUU